GAAGCUGGCAUGCAAGAUCUACACUGAUAAGGACAAUGUCUCAUUCAUCUUUUCAUGCACUUAAGGACUUAGCAGAAAGAUCAAGCUACCAACAAAUACUUAAUGUUAGCCAUCCUUUUGAAAUUGUUGCUGUCUUCUGUAUUCGAGCUUGGGAGCCAAGAAAUAAAGUGUUUGACAGGGACAGUGUGGUGCUGUGAAAAAAGGAUUGGAUUUGGAAUCAGACCAUUUCUUCAAAUAAUUGAUGACUACUGUGUUUCCCAAAGUCAUCUUUUUUAGAAGGUAAAUG